AUGUACACAACUUAUGAGUGUUCACUGUCACUGUCUACUCAUACUAAAGCUUAUCUCACACUUAAUAUUUUUAAGAAAGGUGGAGAUGGAGGUGGACCUUCAGCAUGUGACAAUCAGUAUCAUUCUGAUGACACUCCAUUUGUUGCACUUUUCAUCGAAUGGUUCAACGACAAGAGCAGAUGUUUGAACAAGAUUACCAUCAGUGCUAAUGGAAAAAGUGUGGUGGCCAUGGGUGGCAUUGACAUUACUUGGUCAUAUGCUUGA